rnacentral:rRNA from 1 species
AACGUAGGAGGCAAGCGUUAUCCGGAGUUACUGGGCGUAAAGGGUGCGUAGGCGGGUUUUUAAGUCAGGGGUGAAAUCCUGGAGCUCAACUCCAGAACUGCCUUUGAUACUGAAGAUCUCGAGUCCGGGAGAGGUGAGUGGAACUGCGAGUGUAGAGGUGAAAUUCGUAGAUAUUCGCAAGAACACCAGUGGCGAAGGCGGCUCACUGGCCCGGUACUGACGCUGAGGCACGAAAGCGUGGGGAGCAAACAGG